GACAGAGGUCCCGAGCGUUAGGCGGAAUCACUGGGCUUAAAGCGUGUGUAGGCGGAUUUGUAAGUACCUUGUGAAAUCCCACGGCUUAACCGUGGAACUGCUUGGUAUACUGCGAAUCUUGGGCCAUCUAGGGGCGAGCGGAACAAACGGUGGAGCGGUGAAAUGCGUAGAGAUGCGGAGGAACACCGAUGGCGAAGGCAGCCCCCUGGGCUGACACUGACGCUCAGGCACGAAAGCGUGGGGAGCAAACAGG
rnacentral:rRNA from 1 species